UGGAAGUGAUGAAAUAGAGAUAAUUGGAUGUCUCUUUGAAUUGAAUGUGUGUGAUAAAUGGAAUUUAAACCAAGUUAAAUUGGGGGUGGGGUGUGGGGAACGUGUGUGUGCGUGUGCGCGUAUGUGUAGAAAAGGCUUUAAAUGGGGGCACUGAUAAUGCAGUGCUGAUUCCGGAGUGCAUCUGAGGCAUGUUGUUAAUUUCUGGGGUGCAGCUUUACAACAUUGCCAAUGAUUAAAGCCCAAAACAAGCCCACCAGGAAAAGCCUAGGCAUCCUAAAUCUCUAACAGGUUCAUUAAUGAAAGUGAUCCUGUGAUCUGAUCUGA
rfam:Egretta garzetta contig22979, whole genome shotgun sequence.